CAUCCUUAGGGUAGACAGGAUGAAAAAUGACUUUGCAGUGUGUACUGAUGUAGUUUAGCAUCAUUGCAAGUAAAGGUCAAGCAGAAAAGUCCAACUUUCCAUGAGGGUGGUCUCCAUGAUAGGUUUGGCUUUAUGGCAGCAAGGUGGCAAGAAACCAUGUGUGUAGCAUGUGGCCUGGCCUGGAAUAGAGGUAUUUGUGGCAGUCCUAGCCAGGAACAUGCUUGAUGACGGGCCUUUCAGUGGCUGAUGUUGCACAGCAGCUUGUGGUAAAGCAACCUCAAUGGUGGGUUGUGCCUGCUGAGUGUUGGAGGUGAUGAAGUGCACAUGCUGUUUGCCUCUCCUGCCAAGGAUAGGUACAACGUGGUCAUUCAGGACUGAGCAUAUUGCCAGUACACGUUCCUCCCCAGGUGGUGAAGCGAGCAGUCGAGCACUGUGCUAGUCAUAGCAGCACAAGUUAUUACAUACCAGCUCUGCCUUUCCGUUGGAUAUUUCCUACAUGUUCAUGUGGCUGCACUCCACUUGAUGCAGAACUGAAAACUUCAGCUGCUGGGGUAAAUGUCUCCACUGCCUUGCAGCUAGACAAAUCUCCUUUUGGCAGCUGGAGGAGAAGGGAAUGCCACCACAAAGGAAGGAUUACUGAGGCAAGGUUCACAUUGUAUUCAAAGGGAACACAAGUGUUGUGCAAUACACAUGUCACCACCACGACAGAACUCCUGUUUGGGGAAAUCAAGAACUGAACAGAUCCUUUUCUAUUUCCACUCAUUUUCAGGGUGGUUCUUCUCAAACAAAGAUAAGCAGUCAGGUGAGUCAAAUGUUCACUUUCCAGCAGGUCUAUGGAAGAGGAAUGAGAAAUGACAAGUGGAGGCAAUGCUAGGCACCUCUGAAUCUCAGGGCUCUAUAACCACCUGAGCAUUAACCCACUGAGAGGCACUUUAAGAUGCAUAUUUCAUUCUCUAACUUCUGUGCAGUGCCACAGAUUCACUUGCUUUGGAGCCCGGAUUUAGUGAUUAAAACUUUCUAAAUUUCUCCUCUGUUAGUAAUGCCCUCAUACUGUCAUUUGGAGCUGAAAGGAAAGCACACUGCCAGAAUUGGCCCCAAUGGGUGCUGUGAUAAUAGUCUAAAGAGUGAGACUGUCAUUAGAUUAAGUGGAAGAUACCAGUAGAGCUGCUCUUGAUGGCCAGCCUCUCCUUUCUCCACAUGAUGCUCAGAGUCCAGCUAUACUUUUUCUUUCAGAUUUCCAUAUUGUCCCUCCUUUAUGCCUUGUCAAGAGCAUUAGUCACAGUUAUCUGUUUGCAUCUUAUGCUGAAGCUGAGACAAAGCCCAUGGGACUUUUGGCUGUUCAGCACCCUCACCCCUGCCAUAGUGCAGGGUUCAAGUCCCUCACGUGAACAGCAAGUACCAUGGCAGAGAAUGAGCAUCUCACCCUGUAUGCCCAACACGUGAUGAUGCUUCUGGAUGGGAGGCACCACGAUGUGACAUUGACUGUGCUGAAGUGACGCAGGGACCACUCUCAGCUCUGGCAUAGAAACCCUCUUGAGGCUGAGCAAAUGUAUUCACCUCUGUGCCUUUGCUGACCCAGGUAUAAAGUGAGGAUGAUGCUCAUCAUGGCAUUUUGGGGUCCACUUCAAGAGUAUGCUGCCUUCAGUAUAAGCCCUCAGUUAGACCUGAAAGCCGACUAGUGCUCUAGGACUAGCUCCAAGGCACAGCCCAUGAAAUUGGCUUUUCCUGCAUGUGCCACUGUUGAAUUUGUAGAUUACCGGAUUCCUCAUGUGAGGAUUGAAAUCCUUGUCUUGUGAAAUGCAGUGUACAAAACGAGCAGAAGGCAGGUGCUGAAUGAAUUUUGUCCCAGCCAAAGGGAAUGGAUUGUGGAAUGGAUUGUGCUGUGCAGUGACAUGAGUGGCCCAGGCUUUGAUUUACUCCCAAAAGUAGAAGGCAAAAAUAUUAUCCCUAAAUGUAUGAUUUAGGAACAUGCACAUCAGGAACUGAAAGCAAAAAGAAAUCGGGCGGGUUGUUUAAUAUGUAUAUACGACCCCACUGUGCUGAGAGAAUGAGGUAGUCUGCAGCCCCAGUGUCUGGUGGCAGCGAGUGGGUCUGACAUUGUUAGAUCUGGCAGGGAUUCAGACAUCUGCCAGGGGAUGGGGGAUUUUGUGAGGAGAAGUGGGAGAGAGAGGAGCGGGAGAGACGCAAGGAAGCUCGGGGAGGCUUGCAGCUUUAUAUAUACACGCCUGGAUAACACUUCCUCUUUAAAAUUCCCUUACUAAGCUCGGCUCCUAUAUUUUAUAUUCAGCACGAAGGUUCCCGCCCCCCCUCCAGCCCUCCCCACCCACCACCACCCUCUCUCCCUUUAACUUGUUAAGUUUGAAAGAUGAUAUAUACACACAGUUUGCUUUGCCAGUCAGCCCGUUUAAGGCCAAGAUUAAUGCAGUGCAUUGGUGCAAUCGUGCCGCAGUGGUGCGUGAUCGGAAUACAAGAUGGAAUAUAGGGGGAAAGGCCAGAAAUGUGCCUGUAUUCUGAGUUUACACAAGUCUCCUUAGCAACUUGUCUGAUUUUUUGGUGUCUUUUUUUUCAUGUCAGGGAGGAGGGGGGGGGUGUCUGUGUGUGCACAGGGAGCGUUGUCCCAAAUCACCAGUGAAUAAAACAUUCCCUGAGUUUUUAAAUCGCUCCAAUUGAUGCUCUUGUUGUUGUUUUUCCUUCUCCUUUUCCUUUUGUUACAUUAGUGGCUUAUUUUUCCAUCUCUUUUUUUUUUUAUCCCUGGAAGGAGGAGGGU